rnacentral:SRP_RNA from 1 species
CGAUGGGAAGGGCCGGGUCGUUUGCCGCGACCUGUCACCGGUAAUGGCAAUAACCGGGGCCAGUAACCAACCUUGCGGAUGAACCGGGACACCGGUGGGUCCAGUUGCAGGACGUUGACGUGCGGUCUUUGGAGUCUGUCACGGACAUAGCAGCAUUCGUAGGUUUGCUGUAAGUGAUCUCAAACUUCCGAAAUGGGUCAGGCCCUGGCGGGAACAGCCCUAAGGGAGAGUGGUGGAGCCCCAGAGAGUGCCGCAUUGAGAAAUGCACUGAUUUGCUCUCCGGCAACCGACAUUCAAAACAGAGGGACCAUCG